rnacentral:tRNA from 1 species
GUCCCCGUAGCUUAAUUGAAUAAAGCUCCGCUAUGACUAAGCGGCAGAUGCGGGUUUGAGUCCCGCCGGGGACA